rnacentral:rRNA from 1 species
UGCGUAGGUGGUUUGAUAAGUCAGAAGUGAAAGGCAUUGGCUCAACCAAUGUAAGCUUUUGAAACUGUCGGACUUGAGUGCAGGAGAGGUAAGUGGAAUUCCUAGUGUAGAGGUGAAAUUCGUAGAUAUUAGGAGGAACACCAGUGGCGAAGGCGACUUACUGGACUGUAACUGACACUGAGGCACGAAAGCGUGGGGAGCAAACAGGAUUAGAUACCCUGGUAGUCC